UACGUAGGGCGCGAGCGUUGUCCGGAAUUAUUGGGCGUAAAGAGCUCGUAGGCGGCCUGUUGCGUCCGCUGUGAAAUCCCAGGGCUCAACCCUGGGCGUGCAGUGGAUACGGGCAGGCUGGAGGCAGGCAGGGGAGAACGGAAUUCCCGGUGUAGCGGUGAAAUGCGUAGAUAUCGGAAGGAACACCUGUGGCGAAAGCGGCUCACUGGACCAUUACUGACGCUGAUGCACGAAAGCUAGGGGAGCAAACAGG
rnacentral:rRNA from 1 species